GUCCGGUCAUUCAGAAUCAGAAAUACUUUAUUAAUCCCUGGGGAAAGUUUGGUAUCAUCUACUUACCUGCGUCCCGAGCUGUGAUGCCAUGAGACUUUGAGAAUGGCAACUCUGAGGACACCUAUGUCUUGGCAGAGGGAGCUGCUUUUUACAUCUGCAGAUGCAUGAUGGGAAAUGCAAUGAGCUGCUUGUCAGGGAAGAGACAAUUCACGGGAGAGGGCCCACGGAAGCUGUAUACAUUCCCAAUUUACUCCCAGCUCUGCCGUUUUUUAAGGGCUCGGUGGAUCCUCUCGUCUUCUUUUAGGCUUCUGCACAUUGUUGGCAAAUGAUGCAACGUAUAAAAAUAAAUUUAUUAAG